AAGGUUGAACCCCAACCUUAAGGGCCCCCACCGACCCUGCCCUGGGCCAUCGUGAAGGAGGUAAAUCGCAGGAUGUGCCUCCCAGGAGCCAGGGUGGAGAGCACAUGGAUAGGCCAAGGCUGUUAACCCAUAUGGUAACUCCCGCUUGCAACAAAGCCAAUUCCACCUUGCGGGGAAUCGAACUCUGCACACUGCCGCGCUGAGCCCU
rnacentral:lncRNA from 1 species